rnacentral:lncRNA from 1 species
AGGGAAAUUUUGGUAAAUUCGCAUAGAAUUGCUCACUGUCCAUAUAAUAACUCAACCAGUUGGCCAGCCAAACCUUAUCCUCUCCCUCUCCAAUCUCCCUCUUCCUCUCCUCAGAUCGGGGCGCUGGCUGAGACCGAGCGGCGGCGGCUCGUUGCGAUCGGGGCAGCACCCCGCUUCUCCCGUCCAAUCCGGCAGUGGCUCGGUGACGAGAGGAGGGGCGGCGAGAGCACGGCUCCUCCCUCGCCUCUUCUCCCCUCCAAUCCCGCGGCGGCGGCGGCUCCGCGACAAGGAAGGGCGGCGGGAGCUUGGUUCCUCCCUCCCCUCUUCUCCCCUUCAAUCCCGGCGGCGGCUCGGCGACAAGUGCGGGACAAGGGCGGCGGCUCGGCAACGGCGGCUCAGCGGCGACGACGACGACAGCGACAACGGAGGGGCCUUGGCGACUUUGACGACGACCGCGACGACGGAGGGCCUCGUCGACAACGACGGCGCGCGGUGGACGGCGACGAGCGGAUCCGGCACCACCUCCUCCAUCCACCGCGCCACCUCCAUCUCCGCCCCCAGCCACCUCUUCACCCUUCCCCGCCUCGCUCCCCUAGCCAGGGAAGGACGGUGGCGCGCGGAUCUGCCGCCUCCCGUCGUCGGGAGCGACGGCGGCGCAUGAAUCCAGCGGCCUCCGUCCUCGGGAGUGCCCUGGCGUGAGCGGGAGUGC